rnacentral:rRNA from 1 species
GAUGAACGCUGGCGGCGUGCCUAAUACAUGCAAGUCGAGCGAGAAUUUUUCAAAUGACACUUCGGUUGAUUUUGGAAAAGGACAGCGGCGGACGGGUGAGUAACGCGUAGGCAACCUGCCCCUGACAGAGGGAUAGCCAUUGGAAACGAUGAUUAAAACCUCAUAACGCCGAAGGAACACAUGUUUCAUCGGCCAAAGAUUUAUCGGUCAGGGAUGGGCCUGCGUCUGAUUAACUAGUUGGUGAGGUAACGGCUCACCAAGGUGACGAUCAGUAGCCGACCUGAGAGGGUGAUCGGCCACAUUGGAACUGAGACACGGUCCAAACUUCUACGGAAGGCAGCAGUAGGGAAUCUUGCACAAUGGGCGAAAGCCUGAUGCAGCAACGCCGCGUGAAGGAUGAAGGCCUUCGGGUUGUAAACUUCUGUUCUUAGGGAAGAAGAAAGUGACGGUACCUAAGGAGAAAGCCCCGGCUAACUACGUACCAGCCGCCGCAGUAA